AGCCACUGCUAUGGGGGUCCGACUAAGCCAUGCGAGUCAUGGGGCGCCUUGCGCGCACCGGCGGACGGCUCAGUAACACGUCGGUAACCUACCCUCGGGAGGGGGAUAACCCCGGGAAACUGGGGCUAAUCCCCCAUAGGCCUGAGGUACUGGAAGGUCCUCAGGCCGAAAGGGGCUCUGCCCGCCCGAGGAUGGGCCGGCGGCCGAUUAGGUAGUUGGUGGGGUAACGGCCCACCAAGCCGAAGAUCGGUACGGGCCAUGAGAGUGGGAGCCCGGAGAUGGACACUGAGACACGGGUCCAGGCCCUACGGGGCGCAGCAGGCGCGAAACCUCCGCAAUGCGGGCAACCGCGACGGGGGGACCCCCAGUGCCGUGGCAUCGCCACGGCUUUUCCGGAGUGUAAAGAGCUCCGGGAAUAAGGGCUGGGCAAGGCCGGUGGCAGCCGCCGCGGUAAUACCGGCGGCCCGAGUGGUGGCCGCUAUUAUUGGGCCUAAAGCGUCCGUAGCCGGGCCCGUAAGUCCCUGGCGAAAUCCCACGGCUCAACCGUGGGGCUUGCUGGGGAUACUGCGGGCCUUGGGACCGGGAGAGGCCGGGGGUACCCCUGGGGUAGGGGUGAAAUCCUAUAAUCCCAGGGGGACCGCCAGUGGCGAAGGCGCCCGGCUGGAACGGGUCCGACGGUGAGGGACGAAGGCCAGGGGAGCGAACCGGAUUAGAUACCCGGGUAGUCCUGGCUGUAAAGGAUGCGGGCUAGGUGUCGGGCGAGCUUCGGGCUCGCCCGGUGCCGAAGGGAAGCCGUUAAGCCCGCCGCCUGGGGAGUACGGCCGCAAGGCUGAAACUUAAAGGAAUUGGCGGGGGAGCACUACAAGGGGUGGAGCGUGCGGUUU
rnacentral:rRNA from 1 species